GACGAACGCUGGCGGCGUGCCUAAUACAUGCAAGUUGAGCGCUGAAGGUUGGUACUUGUACCGACUGGAUGAGCAGCGAACGGGUGAGUAACGCGUGGGGAAUCUGCCUUUGAGCGGGGGACAACAUUUGGAAACGAAUGCUAAUACCGCAUAAAAACUUUAAACACAAGUUUUAAGUUUGAAAGAUGCAAUUGCAUCACUCAAAGAUGAUCCCGCGUUGUAUUAGCUAGUUGGUGAGGUAAAGGCUCACCAAGGCGAUGAUACAUAGCCGACCUGAGAGGGUGAUCGGCCACAUUGGGACUGAGACACGGCCCAAACCCCUACGGGAGGCAGCAGUAGGGAAUCUUCGGCAAUGGACGAAAGUCUGACCGAGCAACGCCGCGUGAGUGAAGAAGGUUUUCGGAUCGUAAAACUCUGUUGGUAGAGAAGAACGUUGGUGAGAGUGGAAAGCUCAUCAAGUGACGGUAACUACCCAGAAAGGGACGGCUAACUACG
rnacentral:rRNA from 1 species